GCCUUCGUGAUGUAAUGGUCAGCACACUGAGCCGGUAUUUCAGAGGUCCGUGGUUCGAUCCCCGGCGAAGGAA
rfam:Stegodyphus mimosarum contig116105, whole genome shotgun sequence.